rnacentral:rRNA from 1 species
AGUCACGAGUUUGAUCCUGGCUCAGAUUGAACGCUGGCGGAAUGCUUUACACAUGCAAGUCGAACGAUGAACCUUAGCUUGCUAGGGGGAUUAGUGGCGAACGGGUGAGUAAUAUAUCGGAACGUACCUUGUAAUGGGGGAUAACUAGUCGAAAGAUUAGCUAAUACCGCAUACGCCCUGAGGGGGAAAGUAGGGGAUCUUCGGACCUUACGUUAUAAGAGCGGCCGAUAUCUGAUUAGCUAGUUGGUGGGGUAAUGGCCUACCAAGGCGACGAUCAGUAGCUGGUCUGAGAGGACGACCAGCCACACUGGGACUGAGACACGGCCCAGACUCCUACGGGAGGCAGCAGUGGGAAUUUCGGACAAUGGGCGCAAGCCUGAUCCAGCAAUGCCGCGUGCAGGAUGAAGGCCUUCGGGUUGUAAACUGCUUUGUACGGAACGAAACGGUGAGCUCUAAUACAGUUUGCUAAUGACGGUACCGUAAGAAUAAGCACCGGCUAACUACGUG